AUCAAGAUCAAGAAGAUUUACACAACAGUGCCAACACAUGCCGGGCACUCGGGGCGGGCCAAGGGCGGGCGGUUCACGGCACGAAACGAAAAGGGAAGGAUAACUGAAGGCUACUAAGGAAGGAAAGUCAAGGAAUAAAGACGUCAGAGGUCUACAGAAGAAGCAUGAUUACUGCAGUAAGAAAAGGACUCCACCUAACAAGACUUGCUGGUGCAAGCCAGUCUUCCACCAUCACUUCCAUCACCACCACAAGUAGAGUCCUACACAGUCUAAGAGAGACCAUUGUACCCCAACCCCUUUCCUCACCUCUGGCCUCAGUAUGCACAAGGACAGGUACUCCACCAUCUGAACACCAUCACCACCAUGAGACACUGUCACGGCUUUUCUCCACCACCUCCUCCACAUGUGGAUCAUCACACCAGCCUGGCCGACUCAAGCGUUUCAUCAAGAAAAUGGGUUGGUUGGACCAUUCCCAGAGUAAGCUGAAGCGCUCAGGGUUUCUGCUGUAUGAGAGCGCCUGUGGCAAUGCCCUCACCUCAGACUUCUUCCAAGUGUGUGACUUGCCAGACACCUUCUACUCAUUUUUUGUGGUGACUGAGAUCCAUGUAUGGAUGCUGAUGGCACGAC